rnacentral:rRNA from 1 species
UACGUAGGUGGCUAGCGUUGUCCGGAUUUACUGGGCGUAAAGGGCGCGUAGGCGGCCUGAUAAGUAGGGGGUAAAAUCCUGCGGCUUAACCGCAGGGCUGCCUUCUAAACUGUCAGGCUGGAGCACAGUAGAGGCAGGUGGAAUUCCCGGUGUAGCGGUGGAAUGCGUAGAGAUCGGGAAGAACAUCAGUGGCGAAGGCGGCCUGCUGGGCUGUUGCUGACGCUGAGGCGCGACAGCGUGGGGAGCAAACAGG